CUGGGUUUAAUACCGUAUACGCCCUUCGGGGGAAAGAAUUUCGGUGAGGGAUCGGCCCGCGUUAGAUUAGUUAGUUGGUGGGGUAAUGGCCUACCAAGACUACGAUCUAUAGCUGGUUUGAGAGGAUGAUCAGCAACACUGGGACUGAGACACGGCCCAGACUCCUACGGGAGGCAGCAGUGGGGAAUCUUAGACAAUGGGGGCAACCCUGAUCUAGCGAUGCCGCGUGAGUGAUGAAGGCCUUAGGGUCGUAAAGCUCUUUCGCCUGUGAUGAUAAUGACAGUAGCAGGUAAAGAAACCCCGGCUAACUCCGUGCCAGCAGCCGCGGUAAUACGGAGGGGGUUAGCGUUGUUCGGAAUUACUGGGCGUAAAGCGCACGUAGGCGGAUUAGUCAGUCAGAGGUGAAAUCCCAGGGCUCAACCCUGGAACUGCCUUUGAUACUGCUAGUCUUGAGUUCGAGAGAGGUAAGUGGAAUUCCGAGUGUAGAGGUGAAAUUCGUAGAUAUUCGGAGGAACACCAGUGGCGAAGGCGGCUUACUGGCUCGAUACUGACGCUGAGGUGCGAAAGUGUGGGGAGCAAACAGGAUUAGAUACCCUGGUAGUCCACACCGUAAACGAUGAAUGCCAGUCGUCGGGUAGCAUGCUAUUCGGUGACACACCUAACGGAUUAAGCAUUCCGCCUGGGGAGUACGGUCGCAAGAUUAAAACUCAAAGGAAUUGACG
rnacentral:rRNA from 1 species